UUCAAAACGUCGUGAGACAGUUUGGUCCCUAUCCACCAUGGUCGUAAGAUAUUUGAGGGGAGCUGCUCCUAGUACGAGAGGACCGGAGUGGACGCACCACUAGCGUAUCUGUUGUCGCGCCAGCGGCACUAAGCAGAGUAACCAAGUGCGGCCCGGAUAACCGCUGAAGGCAUCUAAGCGGGAAACCGCCCCCGAGAUGAGAUAUCUCAUACGGAAGCGUAGUAAGACGCCCCCGAGACGAGGGGAUAGAUAGGACGGGAAUGUAAGCGCAGCGAUGCGUUGAGUUGACCGUUACUAAAGCGUCGAGGCCUUAACCUG
rnacentral:rRNA from 1 species